rnacentral:rRNA from 1 species
AAGAAAGUAAGCAAGGGCAGACGGUGGAUGCCUUGGCUCUCGGAGGCGAAGAAGGACGUGAUAAGCUGCGAAAAGCCCGGGGGAGAUGCAAAUAAUCCUUGAUCCCGGGAUAUCCGAAUGGGGCAACCCGGCAGGUUGAAGGCCUGUCACCUUGAAAUAAGGAGCAAACGCGGGGAACUGAAACAUCUAAGUACCCGUAGGAGAAGAAAACAAAAGUGAUUCCGUAAGUAGUGGCGAGCGAACACGGAACAGCCCAAACCGGUGUUGUUUAGGCAAUACCGGGGUAGUAGGACCACGUUGUGGCAAGCAAACAGGGAAGUGGAAUCAACUGGAAAGUUGAGCCAGAGACGGUGAAAGCCCGGUACACGACUCCUUGUCGAAGCCUAGUGGUAUCCUGAGUAACGCGGAGCACGAGGAAUUCUGCGCGAAUCAGCGGGGCCCAUCCCGUAAGGCUAAAUACUCCCGAGAGACCGAUAGCGAACCAGUACUGUGAAGGAAAGGUGAAAAGAACCCCGAACAGGGGAGUGAAAUAGACCCUGAACCCGUCUGCCUACAAGCGGUCGGAGCAGCUU